UACAGAGGUCUCAAGCGUUGUUCGGAUUCAUUGGGCGUAAAGGGUGCGUAGGCGGCGCGGUAAGUCGGGUGUGAAAUCUCGGGGCUUAACUCCGAAACUGCAUUCGAUACUGCCGUGCUUGAGGACUGGAGAGGAGACUGGAAUUUACGGUGUAGCGGUGAAAUGCGUAGAUAUCGUAAGGAAGACCAGUGGCGAAGGCGGGUCUCUGGACCGAUACUGACGCUGAGGAGCGAAAGCGUGGGGAGCGAACAGG
rnacentral:rRNA from 1 species